rnacentral:lncRNA from 1 species
UAAAAUCAUUGGAGAAAGGUGAAUCGCAUUGAAAUGCUGAGGCUCCAUGAGUGACAUGUGCAGCAAACUCUAUUUAGCAAGGACUGUAGGAGGGCAGCGAGAGAGAGAUGGAAGUUCAGGGCCUUGCAAGAUUGGAGAAGUUGGAGCUCACGGUGCCCUACAAAUGAAGACCUCUUACGCCUGGGAAGCUGAUGCCAGCCAGGGUGGGAAGGGCGAGAAGGCGGCGAGUGCUGUAUUGUGCUUCAGGGACCUAUGGCACAGCCAAGCAGCUUCCCAGCGUGGAGUCCUGCCCUCGGGACCUGUUGCUGCCCAGGCAGUGGGAAGGUAUUGCAACAUCCUCUGCGGCUGCAUAUGCUGACCUCCAGAAAUGUUUGAUCCGUGAUGUUUCAGAGACGGAGCUAAAACCAGCCCGUGCUCACCGACUAAUCAUCAGCACUGCGUGCACGUGGGGCUUCAGCCUGAGGUCCAGGAAGUACGGCUCCUGUAAUUUGCAUCCAGAUAUCAGGAAGCGAUGCGUUAUGAGAACAUCUCAUCUACCGCCAGGGAUGAACCCGCAGAAAUCACUUAUACCAACAGAUUCACAGGUUGGCACCCCAAGCCCCAUCAGCAGCCGUCCGAGUGGCCCCGCUCCUGCUCGCCGCGGGCACCUUCGAGGAGCAAAGGCAAAAUUUGAUCCCGAUGGAUGCAAAAGGUUGACAGCCCUAAGAGCAGAGCGGAGAGACAAAGUCCCAGCUGCCGCCUUGGUGUUUUGGUUCUGGGGCCAGCCCGGAGCUCUGCCCCUCACCUCAUCUUGACCUGCUGAGUUCAUCCUUCCUGGACGUCACAGGGGCUAGUCCUCUCUCUGCUUUUUUCUGGCCA